rnacentral:rRNA from 2 species
UAUCCUGUCUGAAUAUGGGGGGACCAUCCUCCAAGGCUAAAUACUCCUGACUGACCGAUAGUGAACCAGUACCGUGAGGGAAAGGCGAAAAGAACCCCGGCGAGGGGAGUGAAAAAGAACCUGAAACCGUGUACGUACAAGCAGUGGGAGCCCCACCACCAAAGCAUUUGCUGUACCGCGUUGACGGAGCGAAGCGACGUCAAACCGAUAAAACAGCAGUGUAAAGUGAGCCGCAGGGCGCUUUGCGCGACAGCGCAAAGGCAGGCGGUUUCGCGUAGCGAAAGCGAAUGCUUUGGGGUGGGGUGACUGCGUACCUUUUGUAUAAUGGGUCAGCGACUUAUAUUCUGUAGCAAGGUUAACCGAAUAGGGGAGCCGGAGGGAAACCGAGUCUUAAUUGGGCGUUAAGUUGCAGGGUAUAGACCCGAAACCCGGUGAUCUAGCCAUGGGCAGGUUGAAGGUUGGGUAACACUAACUGGAGGACCGAACCGACUAAUGUUGAAAAAUUAGCGGAUGACCUGUGGCUGGGGGUGAAAGGCCAAUCAAACCGGGAGAUAGCUGGUUCUCCCCGAAAGCUAUUUAGGUAGCGCCUCGUGAAUUCAUCUCCGGGGGUAGAGCACUGUUUCGGCUAGGGGGCCAUCCCGGCUUACCAACCCGAUGCAAACUGCGAAUACCGGAGAAUGUUAUCACGGGAGACACACGGCGGGUGCUAACGUCCGUCGUGAAGAGGGAAACAACCCAGACCGCCAGCUAAGGUCCCAAAGUCAUGGUUAAGUGGGAAACGAUGUGGGAAGGCCCAGACAGCCAGGAUGUUGGCUUAGAAGCAGCCAUCAUUUAAAGAAAGCGUAAUAGCUCACUGGUCGAGUCGGCCUGCGCGGAAGAUGUAACGGGGCUAAACCAUGCACCGAAGCUGCGGCAGCGACACUGUGUGUUGUUGGGUAGGGGAGCGUUCUGUAAGCCUGUGAAGGUGUGUCGUGAGGCAUGCUGGAGGUAUCAGAAGUGCGAAUGCUGACAUAAGUAACGAUAAAGCGGGUGAAAAGCCCGCUCGCCGGAAGACCAAGGGUUCCUGUCCAACGUUAAUCGGGGCAGGGUGAGUCGACCCCUAAGGCGAGGCCGAAAGGCGUAGUCGAUGGGAAACGGGUUAAUAUUCCCGUACUUGGUGUUACUGCGAAGGGGGGACGGAGAAGGCUAUGUUGGCCGGG